GACAGAGGGUGCAAACGUUGCUCGGAAUCACUGGGCGUAAAGAGCGUGUAGGCGGGAAGGAAAGUCAGAUGUGAAAUCCCUGGGCUCAACCCAGGAACUGCAUUUGAAACUCCCUUUCUUGAGUGUCGGAGAGGAAAGUGGAAUUCCUGGUGUAGAGGUGAAAUUCGUAGAUAUCAGGAGGAACACCGGUGGCGAAGGCGGCUUUCUGGACGACAACUGACGCUGAGACGCGAAAGCGUGGGGAGCAAACAGG
rnacentral:rRNA from 1 species